GAAUAUUGGACAAUGGGGGGCACCCUGAUCCAGCCAUGCCGCGUGUGUGAAGAACGCCUUUUGUUUGUAAAUCACUUUACGCGAGGAGGAGGCUACUUCGAUUUAUACUCUAGGAUAGUGCACGUUACUCGCAGAAUAAGCACCGUCUCACUCUGUGCCAGCCGCCGCGGUAAUACAGAGGGUGCAAGCGUUAAUCGGAUUUACUGGGCGUAAAGCGCGCGUAGGUGGCCAAUUAAGUCAAAUGUGAAAGCCCCGAGCUUAACUUGGGAAUUGCAUUCGAUACUGGUUGGCUAGAGUAUGGGAGAGGAUGGUAGAAUUCCAGGUGUAGCGGUGAAAUGCGUAGAGAUCUGGAGGAAUACCGAUGGCGAAGGCAGCCAUCUGGCCUAAUACUGACACUGAGGUGCGAAAGCAUGGGGAGCAAACA
rnacentral:rRNA from 1 species